rnacentral:rRNA from 1 species
CCUACGGGAGGCAGCAGUGGGGAAUUUUGGACAAUGGGGGAAACCCUGAUCCAGCAAUGCCGCGUGUGUGAAGAAGGCCUUCGGGUUGUAAAGCACUUUUAUUCGGAGAGAAAUCCCUUGGGCUAAUACCCUGAGGGUCUGACGGUACCGGAUGAAUAAGCGCCGGCUAACUACGUGCCAGCAGCCGCGGUAAUACGUAGGGCGCGAGCGUUAAUCGGAAUUACUGGGCGUAAAGCGUGCGCAGGCGGUUUUGUAAGACAGAUGUGAAAGCCCCGGGCUCAACCUGGGAAUUGCAUUUGUGACUGCAAGGCUAGAGUGUGUCAGAGGGAGGUGGAAUUCCGCGUGUAGCAGUGAAAUGCGUAGAGAUGCGGAGGAACACCGAUGGCGAAGGCAGCCUCCUGGGAUAACACUGACGCUCAUGCACGAAAGCGUGGGGAGCAAACAGGAUUAGAUACCCUGGUAGUCCACGCCCUAAACGAUGUCAACUAGUUGUCGGGAAUUAAAUUCUUGGUAACGCAGCUAACGCGUGAAGUUGACCGCCUGGGGAGUCGGCCGNGAAGUUAAACUUAAGGAUUGACGNUGNGNGNGCGAGCGACGACGAGGAGAG